rnacentral:rRNA from 1 species
GACGAACGCUGGCGGCGUUCUUAACACAUGCAAGUCGAAGGAGUGGCGAACGGGUGAGUAACACGUGAGUAACCUGCCCCUUCUUUUGGAUAACCGCAUGAAAGUGUGGCUAAUACAGGAUAGUGGGGGAUGGGCUCGCGGUCUAUCAUCUUGUUGGUGGGGUGAUGGCCUACCAAGGCGGUGACGGGUAGCCGGCCUGGGAGGUUGGGCGGCAACGAGGGGAUUGCGAUACGGCCCAGGCUCGGACGGGAGGCGGAAGGGGGGGAAUUUGCACAAUGGGGCUGAGCCUGAUUCGGCGACGAUGGGUAAGGAAAUAAGGCCUUCGGGUUGUAAACCUCUUUCGAUGGGUUGAUGUUACCUGGGAAAGAAGCACCGGCUAACUACGUGCCAGCAGCCGCGGUAAUUC